rnacentral:rRNA from 1 species
AGCAGCCGCCGCGGUAAUACGUAGGGGGCAAGCGUUAUCCGGAUUCAUUGGGCGUAAAGCGCUCGUAGGCGGCCUGUUAGGUCGGGAGUUAAAUCCGGAGGCUCAACCUCCGUUCGCUCCCGAUACCGGCAGACUUGAGUUUGGUAGGGGAAGGUGGAAUUCCUAGUGUAGCGGUGGAAUGCGCAGAUAUUAGGAAGAACACCAGUGGCGAAGGCGGCCUUCUGGGCCAUAACUGACGCUGAGGAGCGAAAGCUAGGGGAGCAAACAGGAUUAGAUACCCCGGUAGUCCCUGUCUCUUAUACC